CUUGUUUAAAAAGUUUGAGGACCCCUGCUCUAGGCAGAGGGAACAGCAAGUACAAAGGCCCUGAGGCAGGAUUGUGCCGGGCAUUUUUGAUGAACAGCAAGGAGGCUAGACUGGCUAGAACGGACUGUACAAGAGGGAAGGUGGUGGAAUUGGGAGGCCUGACUGGUCCACAGAAGGUUUGGGUCCUGAUGCCAGUGCCCACUCCUUGGUCCCCCUGCCAUACCCUGCUGGGGAGAAAUGGGCUCUCAGUGCCUGCCACAGCAGGCCUGUCCAGAGGGAUGGAAGCAGGUGGACACACUGUCGUAAUCACACCGCACUGCACUCACCUCUUGAAUCUGUUAGCCUCUCCUGCUCCGUGAAGCUAGGUAGUGACUCCUUAAAAGAAGGAAAGAUAUUUACUCAUUUUGGGGCCUUCAGUUCUGCAUAUGGCCCCAAUGCUGUCUGUGUUUCUGGUUCCCCCUCUAGAAGGUCCUGGGUGACACUGAGUCCCAGUGCAGGGACAAUGCCUGGAGCAGAGGGGGCCUUCGUUGGUGACUGCCUUGCAGACUGAGUGCACGCCCAGAGGCCUCCAGCUAGAGGCGGUGCACCGUCAGGGGCAGAAGCACAUCCCAGGAAGGAGGCAGGAGAGGUUUCUAAUUUCAGUUCCUGGGGUUGAUUUGGUGGCUGUGUGUUUGUCUUCUACAGAGAAAUAAUUGCAAACAUCUAUUUUGUGUCAGCCGCUGUUCUAAGUACUUUACAUACAUUAAUGAAUUGAAUCUUCAUAAAAGCCCUGGGUAUGACAGGCACUAUUAUCAUUGCCAUUUUACAGGCCAAGGUUCAAAGGUACAGAGAGGUUAAGUGAUUUAGCCAAGGUCACACAGCUAAUAAUUGGCAGAGCCAGGUUGGAAAGCCAAGAGUCCUGCUCUUAUCCUUCUACCAUAGAUUCAUACGCCAUAUCCUCACCCCAUAGACUGGUCCCCUAGAUCCCUCACUGGGCUAUUUGUGCCCUCAGAGUCCCUAGGAAGAGCCAGAAGGUUUUUGAGACUCAACUUUCAGGAAGGUCAAUUUUAAGCAAAGAUUUCAGGAAAAAAAAUUAAGUAUAUAAUUAUAAGUAAUUUAAGAUGAUUGACAUAUGUGUUAUAGUGAAUAAUGCCAAAAGUCAGGUGAAUUUUUAAGAUAAAAAAAAGGAGAAAAUCUUCCAGGAAAUGCCACCCUGAUGGCAGGUUGCAGACCCCAACCCCCAGGCCCAACCCCUGCCCCCACCCAGGGUAAACUAUCAUUGUCUGUGAUUUCCCUGUGCGCACAUGUGCACACACACACACACACACACACACACACACCCUGCACCGUGGCUGUCUGGGGGGAAGUGAGGGGUGGGCUGUGUCAGUGCUGGGCCGCAGGGGGAAGUGCACCGACUACUCCUGUGGGCUGGGGCUGGAGGGCCAGGCAGGGAGGGGGCUGGGCCUUGGCUCUCCCCAGGAGCUUGCACGGGACUCAGUUUCCAUUUGUGCCUGUGGGAAGGUGUAACGGAAGGACUGCUCCAGUAUUACACUGGGACCCAGCAAACCAGCCGGGAGCAGGAGGAACUUCUUGGCCUCUGCACCGUGAAACACCCAGCCCUGGGCCCUGCAUGGACUUUGCAGAGCACGACCUUAGACGCUCCUUCCCGCAGGGUGACAGGCAUGCUCCGUGGCUGAUGUUUUCUGAGUGUCUGUGUGUGUCAAACCCGGGGACGCAUGUCUCACGGCCAUGUGCCACAAAAUGAGUCCCCCUGGGGAGACAAUGCCCAGGGGAUCUUGAAGGCAAACGAAGAGGAAUGUAAGCUGACACUGCCACCGAGAUGGCACGGAGCAUGUGCCUCCGUGGAGGCCGGGCCUGGGAACUGAUUGCCAGCUUCUUCACUGCCAAAGCAAAAGAGCAGACACAACCGAAGGGAGGACGGGAGUGAGUCAGGCACGGAGGGGGACAGCAGUGGCGGGAGGAAAAGGGCAGGGGUGCGUGGGGCGUGUCUAGAGGGUGGAAGAGCCAGGCAGGGUGAGCAGAGAGGGAGGGGCAGAGCAGGACUGUCUGCCUCCGCGUGAGGGAGGGAGGGGGUGUGAGUGCGAGGAUGUGAGGAUGUGUCUGAGAGAAUGUGUGACGACAGAGGAGGGGGCAGUCGGGGAGCGAGACAGGAGAGGGGUGGUGGCCUCUCCCCGCUUCUCCGCUGGAAAGCCCUGCAGUGUGGAGUGGGGGACAUGCAGGAGAGAGCAGUCAGACGCCGUGCCUGGGUGCAUGCUCCCCAUGGCUGAGCCCGAGGAAAGGAUGUGCCAGAGCCAGGGGGUCAGUCCUGCCAUCCCUCCUGUUCCCUCCUGCCAGUCGUCAGGCUGUCCUCUGGGGGCUGAGGAUCGCCUGGACUCCGUCUGUGCCCUUCCUCCCUCUCUGGAAGCCCCAGGGUCUGGGAUGGCCCAGUUACCUUAGGCAGCAGCCUGUCACCUCAGCAGUUUCCACUUUGCUUUUCUGCUAGUUCCCCGAGCAAAUAUUGGACAUCCAGAGACACAGCUGCAUCCGGGUGGUCUGGGUGGGGAUGGAGGGGCAGCUCAGCCAAGAUGAAACAGGCCCUGUGUCUAGGCCUCUGGUAGAGGGAGGCUGCUCGAGGGUUAGGGGGCUCCUUCAGAGGACUCCUCGGGGUGGGGUGUCAGUUGGAUGGCUGGGCCUUCCGGAGCAGGUUGCUUGGGGCAGGGUCUUUUCUUGGGGUGGGGCAGUCCUUCAGCUUCCAAAAGCAUGCCACAUCUGGGAGUGGGUGCUCGAGGUAGGAGUUACCUCCCUGGGGAGGUGGGUGGCUCAGAGGCAGCUCGGCUGAAAAUACAAAUGGCCUCUGGGCAAGCUGGCAGUUUGGUGAGUGGCAGAGUCAUGUGGGUGUGGUCGGCUCUGAGGACCUCCCUGCCCACAGCUCGGAUGCAUCUGCCCCUGCUGCACUCCUGGAGCACCUGUCGGGACCACCCACCACUACGUGCAUCAUCUAUCUGUCCUGGGUGGCCGCGCCAGCCCAGGUUCUCACUGGAAGGAGUAGAAAUGGACUCUGACCCUCUUAAGCAGAGAAAAGAUUCCCAGGAAGGAGCUGGGCAUGCUCAAAGCAACAAUGGGAAGGCUGGAGACCCAGCAUGGAAAAGGGGCGGGAUCCAUGGGGUGCGGGUGCUGGGCAGUGGGCAUCACUGGCCUGGUUAGGAUGCCUUUGCUGGUACCACCCUCUGCCAUCCAUGGCUCUCACACAGCUGGGCAGCUGUUGCAGCCCAUCCCUCUGCCAGGAACGAUUUCUAAGCUACUCCAGAUUCAGAGUCCCGAGUGGGAAUUUCUGAUUGACUGAGUCUGGGUCGUGUGUCACAUCCUGGCUGCCAGCGAGUAGAGGGAGGCUGAGUCCCCAGCUCUGAUUUCUACAAUGAAAGGCGGGGUCUGUUUCCGUAAAUACCCGUUAGGAAGGGAAAUUCCCACCCAAGCCCCCAAGGAGCUUUCUGGAUGGCCUUCGUGGCUGACACGUCCAGCUCCCAUCCUCCCAUCCCUGUCCCCACUCUGAAGCUGGGAGGCUGAGCGUGGGGGCGUCCGCUGCACUCCCAUGGCUGCGGGCUCUGCUGGGGCCUGUCCAGUGGGAGGCACCAAUGGAGGGGAACGGAGGGUGGGAGGGCAGAGGCUGGGCAUUUGUCCUCCUUGCUCCUUUCCUCUGCAGCUUCAGGUCCCUCCAGUUUCCAGUCACUUGCUCCCUGUGCCACCACGGUCUUCACCAUUCCUUGUUGAGUUCCCUUAGCCCUGCCCACUUUUGUAAGUAGUCCCUUCCUGAAUGCUUCCUCGGUUGCUCUGUUUGUGGGUAACAUCUGUUUCCUGCUGGGACCCCCAGGUGGCACAGGGGUUUGAAGAUUGGAGAGCACCAGAGCCCUAACAAGUGGUGGAGCAGAGCAGGCAGCAUGGCAGCGUGGCAAGAGCAAGGACUUUGGAGCCAGACCCACGAAGGUCUGAUUCUCAGCCCAGCUCCUACUACCUGUGUGAACUUGGCCAAGUUCCUUAACCAAGUUGACCUUGCCUUCUGAGAAAUGAAAAUGGAUCCUUAUCUCAUGGGCUUGUUGGGAGGACUGAAUGAGAUAUGAAUAGAUGUAUUAGGCACUUGGCUCUUAGGAGACCAGGGAUAGCUAAAGCGGUCCACCUGAUGUCCAGCUCCAACCCAUCAGUCGUGGCCGUAGGGCGCUGUGCUGGGAAAAAUUCAGACCACUCAUCCAGGCUUGGAGGUGAUGGGGGCACUCGUGACUGAUCUGGGAUGUCUGUCCCAGUGUGGACCCGGAAGUGGCACUCACCAAUAAUAGCUGUCAGUUUUCACAUUUCUUUGCUCCUUGGGAAGGGAAGUAGGAUUCCGCUGGGGUCAAAAAGACCAAGAUCCCAGUAGAUUCCGACUUGGUGCAGCACUGCCCAGGUCCUAAGUCAUGGAGCUCCCUUUCCUGGUUCAGCACAGACUUCUUGGCAGUGAGAGUGCCCUGGCCGGCCCUCUCCUUUAAUCAGCGAAUUGCUUUAGCCCUUUCUGGGUUGUUUAAGGUCUUCUUUCUACCAGGACCUUCUCUUGCUCUUUCAAUCCCCAAAUGCCCAGCCUGAUCCAUCCUGACGGUAUAGACACACCACAUAUGUCUCUGUAUCUGUGUGUGUGUGUCUCUCUCUCUCUCUCUCUCACACACACACACACACUCUCUCUCUCUCUCCUACAUUCACCACCCUCUCCCAGAGUAGGUUACAGAGAAUUAUAUGUAGGAACUUGAUUCUCGCCACUCAAUAUUUCUUGAGCACCUGCUAUGUGCCAGACAGCAGUGCACAAGACAGACAUGCUUUCUGCCUUGAAGGGGAGACAGACAUAACCCAGGGGGUCUGGGCAGUGCAAGUCCAGUGCCAAGGUGGAGGUGAGCACAGAGGGACCUCUGACAGGGGUGGCAUGGUGGCAUGAUCAGAGAAGACUUUGCUGAGCAGGCGGCUUCUGAGCUGUUCCAGGUGGCAGGGGGGAGCAUAUGCAAAGACCUGAAGGUGUGUGUUUGAAGAGUUGCUGGCCGCCAGCAGGUCACCGUGGCUGCACUUAGAGCUGGAAGGGAGGAGGUGCUGAAGAGGGGCCUGCUGGGAGGUGGUGAGGUUUAGGGAGCAGGUCCUACAGGGCCUUGAAAAGGGUGCAGACUGUCCUGAAGCAGCCCCCACCCUACCCCCAGCCUGUCUUCUGCCUGCUGUGGCAAGUGAGGCCCCCUUCCCAGGAGCCACAGGGCUUCCCAGGCAGCUGGGGGCAAUCCCCUACCAUGCCUCAUGAAUCAUUAGGACAGGAGUGAGAGCUGACUACGACUAGUGGUGGGUGGGCAGGCAGCUGGCAGAGUAAGGACGAGCUACAGAGUGGGCCCCCCGACCUGAUGAAUGAAGGCCUUAAUGGAGUGCCCCCAGUAAUUGGCUGGCCCAACCAUCCAGUGCAAUGGAGGGUAAAACAGGUGUGCAGGUAUUUUCUUUUUCCAAUGAUUCAGUAGGUUUGCAAUUACCUCUUCCUCUCAUAAAACCCCCUAAACCCUUUUCCCAGCCACUUCCCCACUUAGACUUCCUUCCCUUUGGAAAAUGGGAAAUAGUGUGUCUGUGAAGCAGAGUGUGGCUGUGUGUGUGUGUGUGUGUGUGUGUGUGUGACAUGUAUAUGUGAGGGAAGUGUAUAAAUGGGAGAGUGUGUACUUGUGUGUGCAUGAAAAUACUUCUGCAUGGGAGCAAAUGUGUGUGGGAUUUGCACACCUCUGUGUGGUGAAGUGCACAUGCUUGUGUGUGCACAGGUGUGCAGGAGAGCGUGGGUGUGUGUUUGCAGUGAGUGUGUUUGCAUGUGCCUCUGCGACCCCAGCCACCAUGCCUGUCUUCCCAGGAGAGAAGUGGUUGGGCUGGGAUACUUGUAUUAACCAAAGCAAUAAAACACCCCACUGGUC